rnacentral:tRNA from 1 species
GGUCUCAUCGUCUAACGGCUAGGACAUCGGACUUUCAAUCCGACAAUCGGGGUUCGAUUCCCCGUGGGACCGCCA